rnacentral:rRNA from 1 species
GGUGAACGCUGGCGGCGUGCUUAACACAUGCAAGUCGAACGGAAAGGCUCCUGCUUGCAGGGGUACUCGAGUGGCGAACGGGUGAGUAACACGUGGGUGAUCUGCCCUGCACUUCGGGAUAAGCCUGGGAAACUGGGUCUAAUACCGGAUAGGACGAUGGUUUGGAUGCCAUUGUGGAAAGUUUUUCGGUGUGGGAUGAGCUCGCGGCCUAUCAGCUUGUUGGUGGGGUAAUGGCCUACCAAGGCGUCGACGGGUAGCCGGCCUGAGAGGGUGUACGGCCACAUUGGGACUGAGAUACGGCCCAGACUCCUACGGGAGGCAGCAGUGGGGAAUAUUGCACAAUGGGCGCAAGCCUGAUGCAGCGACGCCGCGUGGGGGAUGACGGCCUUCGGGUUGUAAACUCCUUUAGCUAGGGACGAAGCGCAAGUGACGGUACCUGGAGAAGAAGCACCGGCUAACUACGUG